rnacentral:tRNA from 1 species
AGCUCAGUGGCAGAGCACUUGCCUAGCAUGCAUGAGGUCCUGGGUUCAAUCCCCAG